rnacentral:rRNA from 1 species
GACGAACGCUGGCGGCGUGCUUAACACAUGCAAGUCGAACGGUAAGGCCCUUCGGGGUACACGAGUGGCGAACGGGUGAGUAACACGUGGGUGAUCUGCCCUGCACUUCGGGAUAAGCCUGGGAAACUGGGUCUAAUACCGGAUAGGACCACUGCCUGCAUGGGUGGUGGUGGAAAGCUUUUGCGGUGUGGGAUGGGCCCGCGGCCUAUCAGCUUGUUGGUGGGGUGAUGGCCUACCAAGGCGACGACGGGUAGCCGGCCUGAGAGGGUGACCGGCCGCACUGGAACUGAGAUACGGCCCAGACUCCUACGGGAGGCAGCAGUGGGGAAUAUUGCACAAUGGGCGCAAGCCUGAUGCAGCGACGCCGCGUGAGGGAUGACGGCCUUCGGGUUGUAAACCUCUUUCAGCACCGACGAAGCGCAAGUGACGGUAGGUGCAGAAGAAGGACCGGCCAACUACGUGCCAGCCGCCGCAGUAA